rnacentral:lncRNA from 1 species
AGAGGAGGGCGUGGUCCCCAGCUAGGGCUUCAUCCCUGGGCCUGGGCCUACCUAGGUGAAGACAGGCAUUUUUGUUUUCCUGCCCGGAUGUUGCAUUUCCCAAGACCACCCUGGCCUGCCAUGCCCUCAUCCUGUGCCUUUAAAAACCCCCGAGACCCUGGCAGGCAGACGCACAAGCAGCUGGACAUUGAGAGGAGCAUAUAGGCAGAGAAUACAGGGGCUGCUGGAUGUCGAAAGGAACGCACCAGCAUAGGAGCACACCGGCAUGCUGGCAGGCCAUUGACCAGCGGAAGAAUGCAGAGUUUGUCGCGGGAGGUCAGAGAAGAGUCAGGCCGCCAUACCUGACUCCAGGAGAAAACCGUCUCCCUUCUGGUUCCCCCGUCUGCCGAGAGCUACUUCCACUCAAUAAAACUUUCCACUCAUUCUUCAAGCCCACGUGUGAUCCAAUUCUUCCCGUACACCAAGGUCUCGCUGUGUUUCCCAGGCUGGGUGCAGUGGCUAUUCAAAGGUACAAUGAUAGCUCACUGCAGCCUGGAACUCCUGGACUCAAGCGAUCCUCCUGCCUCAGCUGCGACUAACAGUGCUGGUAAUGAUGUAUACCUGGCAGCUGACCGUCAAAUCUUAUGAAGGAUUAAAACAUAAAGUUUGCAUUAAAGGUCAAAACAGUCACAAGCCUGCUCAAAUUCGGAAAGAGGGGACGGAAAUGGAACCUCUUCAUGGGAGGAAGAAACAGGGUCUUGCUCUGUUGCCCUGGCUGGAGUGCAAUGAGAUAGGAUCAUGCUAUGUUGCCCAAGCUGGUCUUGAACUUCUGGCCUCCAGCAGUCCUCCUGCCUGAGCCUCCCAAGUAGCUGGGAUUACAGGCAUGAGCCACCAGUCCUGGCAGAUUUGUUAAUUUCUUUGAAUUAUUAUAUAUUUUUAAGUUUACUUCCAUGUAUUUGACUUUUUGUGUGCUUAU